UACGUAGGGGGCAAGCGUUGUCCGGAAUCAUUGGGCGUAAAGAGCGUGUAGGCGGUCCGGUAAGUCCGCUGUGAAAGUCGAGGGCUCAACCCUCGAAUGCCGGUGGAUACUGUCGGGCUUGAGUACGGGAGAGGCGAGUGGAAUUCCUGGUGUAACGGUGAAAUGCGCAGAUAUCAGGAGGAACACCGAUUGCGAAGGCAGCUCGCUGGAACGUUACUGACGCUGAGACGCGAAAGCGUGGGGAGCAAACAGG
rnacentral:rRNA from 1 species